CUUAAUACAUGAUCGCACGCAAAGAGCUGUUUGAAAACGCUAGGUUUCUAGCCACCAAGCUCAUCUUAUUUGAACUUGCAAGUAUUUCUAAAGUCUAAUAUCCAUUUUCUUGCUUUCAUAAUUGUAAUAGACUCAACAAGAUCGAACCUUUUCUUUCGUGACUUCAAAUGAUAAAGUGCCCAGGGCCGUGUUUCUGCAAGCCAGGCUAUGCUAUGCUGAUGCUUUCCCAUGGUGUCGAUCUCCAUGCUCCCACCCCAUCAUUACCCAGAGUGAGCCUUCUCAGACUGGAGUCACACACAUGGACAAGUCGUCCUUGAUGCCUGGGCAGGAACAGGCACAUAAAAGCAUUUCUAAACAGCCAUUUUGCCUGUCUUGAGUUACCUACGGGCUGCUCAUGGGCAUAGACUAUCCCUACAGAGGAGGAACGAGUCUCUCAUCCCAGUAUAUCAGGGCUGCUCCUGGGCAGAGGGCAUCCCUACAGAGGAGGAACGAGUCCCUUAUCCCAGUUCCAUGAAAGCAGAAAAGAACGGAUGCUGCACAGAAGCCCUUGUUCAGGCACAGAGAGGUGUAGAGAAGGAUGACCAACCAUGAUAGCUGGCACAGACGGAACACAAGCGUGUUUUACAGAGGACCUGUUUUGCAGAUCUUAAGCAGAUCAGCGGUUAACUGAAAUACACAAACACAUAAGCUUGACGCACCGCAGCAAAGGUUUCAAAGUGGCCCUUGAUGUGACAGGAGAGUGAAUCCACGGCCGUACCCAACCCAAGCAGGAGGCUCGACUGCUUGGCCAUACCCACAUCCAUCCAUUUACUGUUUAUGUUGCGAUGAGACCUUACUAAGUUCCGAGGGAAGCAGUCCCACAGCCGUGCUUCCUGAAGUAGCUCUGAUUAGAGAGUUACCACAGCUAAGCCAACUGAAAGAGGAGUCCGCAUGGACCAGUUGUUGAAGUGAUCGUAAACUAAAGAUCAUAAAGUAUCCAUGCGUUUGUGUGAUUACGUGUCUGAAGGUAGGUGAGUAUAGGCGUGUGUGUGUGUGAGUCUGUGUAAGUCUUGUUUGGUUGAGCAUGUCCAUGUGUGUCUAGUAGAGUAUAAAAGUAGGACCAAUGAAUGAGGACCAAGUUGAACCACCCUUCCUUAAGAAGGAGACCAUAAAGGUUAGGAUGUUGUGGGAAAUGCUGCCUCUCAGUAUAGAGGAGACACCAGUCAACGCAGCACACAGCGUGAUUCAAGAUGGACAGCCAGAAUGCUAGCUCACAUUCAGGUAAAGUCUCAUCUCUGGAUAGGGGUCAGCUGAUUGGCUAAGUGAGGCAGACAGAAUCUUCGGACCCCAUGGGUUUUAUAUGUCCAAUGGUUUGCUAAGCAACUCACAGAUCAUUCUCCACAAGCUCUAUGGGAAGAAAUGAGUUAAUGAAAUUGAAACUAGGAUGUGGAUUGUAGAGGACUGUAGAGGUUGGGGGAAUUCAUGAUUGUCUAGGAAGAGGCUGGAGGGAUUACACAGUGAGCAGCAUGUCCCGAAGAGCAAAAGAACGGAUCUGAAGUAGAGUCCCGUGAAUGUCCUUUGGUCUCAACCAUGAAGAUAAAUGAACUUUGUUUAGAGCUGGUCAAGAAACAUCUCAAGUGUGCAAUAAACUAACAAAACUGAAGGAGACCUAGUCAGACCCUGUGCUGAAAGAAUAUUAGAGAGCCUAAGUAAUCCACAGAAACCCAGGCAUUGAAUGCUGGAUACAAAGAAAAAGGAACUUGUUACAGAUUCACAUGACCUGGGAACAGCCAGAGAAACUUGGUGAGUGCUUAGUGCCUGACUUUGCUAUUGGAGUGCACCCUUCACAGCUGCACAUCGUCCCAGACCUAGAAACAUUCAGGAUUUGAUUAACUGAACGCUGCACACUAGAAAACCUUGGGUUCCUAAAAGUCUCCUGUGGCUUACAGGUUACUUUCAGGCAGACCAAGAAGAGUGUGAUGGACUCAUCAUUUGAACACAGUCGCCAUUUUAAUCCAUGAAAAUUCCCGAUGUCUGUCUUGGGCAUGAUUUGAGCUAGGGGUGGAAACUGGCGCAGGUUAAGAGGAACUCUUAGCUUUAGAAUGGGAAGGAAUCUGCAUUUCAUUCAUUCAAAAAUGGGAGUAAAAAAAAAAAAAACAAAAAUAGGAGUAAAGGACGCACAGAAAAAUGAAGAGGUCAGUCAGGAAGAAUUUUAUUUCUCCUAGUCCAGGUUUCUAUUGCUUCGAUGACACACUGUACCUCAAGCAGCCUGGGGAGGAAAGGGUUUAUUCAGCUUACACUUCCACCUUGUAGACCAUCACUGAAGGAAAUAAGGACAGGAACUCAAACAGAGCAGGAAUCCAGAGGCAGGAGCUGAUGCAGAGGCCAUGGAGGGAUGCUGCUUACUGACUUGCUCUCCAUGGCUUGCUCAGCCUGCUUUCUUAUAGAACCCAAGACCACCAGCCCAGGGGAUGGCACCACCCACAGUGGGCUGGGCCUUCCCACAUCAAUCACUAAUUAAGGGACUGUUCUACAGGCCUGACCACGAGGUGAUCUAAUGAUGCACUUUCUCAAUUGGUGUUCCCUCCCUUAACUCUACCUCGUGUCAAGCUGCCUUAGAAUUAGCCAGGACAUCCCUCAGACCACCAGGGGCCACUUUAGAAAGAGAGGAGACAUGUAAAAAUGAGUAAAGACGUUACUGCCGUGAUCCAUACCCGUGUGUGCGUAUGAGCUGAGCAUGCAUCCUUGAGAAAUCACUAAGCCAAACUGAGAACGGCAGCAGUUAAAAAAGAAAAGCCACGUGGAAGUUGGGCGGUUACUACAAGGCGAUGCAGAGGCAACAGAGAGGACCUCACUGUCAACAGUGGACAUGAACUGAGUAAUUCAGAGAAGGCCCUUCAGAUGGUUAGAGAUGGGGAUAGAAAGUCUUAUCUUUUCUCCUUUUGUUUAUCCAUGAUCACUUACCUCCUAGGAUAAGACGCCCCGUGACCAUUCUCUGUAUUCUUCGACUCAGGCCCAGUGUCAGCCACCUCCCCCAGAGUCCCUGGUCACCUCAAUGUAGAAUACCAGACUUCAAUUUCUACAGUCUGAUGCUGGCCCUCCUUCCUGCUAAAGUGCUAUUCUAUUUAAACCAUCUCGGGAAGCAGAGCGAAAAUAUGUAUGUAUCUACACAUAUAUACAUAUAUAUUUCACACAUUCAUUACAUACACACACACACACACCACACACACACACACAUAUAUGUAUAUGUAUGUAUAUAUAUUCAUCUUUGGCAAGAAAAAAACAUUUUUAAGAAGUGUACUGUUAGUAAUUUAUCUUGGCUUUGAUGACAUAUAACUACAUACCCAAAGGUAAAUAGUACUGCCUACUAGGUAGUGUAUUGUUCCUAGGCCACAACCCAUAUGACAUAUUAUUGUACUAAAUACUGCAAGCUUUCGUAAUGUAAUAGUUGGCAUUCAUCCAACUGAAAUAUUUAAAAAAUGAUAGACACCUUAAAAUAUUAGGUCAUAGGAGUUUUAGCAUCUCCUAUUAAUUUAAGGGACCACCUUCUUAUAUGGACUGACAUUGGCUUACCUGGCUCUACACAGUACAUGACUGUAUUCUAAGUCCUAUAUACACGAGCAUACCCAAAAUUGCCUCUGUAUUUGUAAAUGAGGCUACCUAUUAAACACAACCGGAGUUCACAGUGAUGUGUGUAACUCUAAUCUAACGACCAGUUUACAUGGUUUAUUGGAGACGUGCCUUACGUAUAACCUCGACCUGUCAGUAGUAAGAGAUUGGGCUUCAAUCGUCAUUUGGGCGGUCUGCAUAGAAAGUGGGUUCAUCCCCGUCAACUGUUACGCACAUGAAAAAUAACAUUGCCAAUUACAAUACGGUUGUUUCCACUUGGCUCCUCGAGUCUUCCUCUAACAGUAGGCUAGAUUCUUUUACACAAAAGGAGUAUGCUGAAACUGAUUUACACAUGGAAAAAAAGAAGACCAUGCUGGGUUGUUCUCAAUGCCCAAGAUUUUUUGCGUGAACUAUGAAGGCUGUUUCCCAAUUAGCAGAGCCUGUCAUUGGUUAGCCCUAGUGAUAGACUCUCCCAACACUUUCAGUGUACAUUAGCAAAAUGAAAUGAGUCUGUUGUGACUGUUACCGUCAAUAUAUGACAUCACCCAUAAUCUUUAUUUUCAGUCCCACAGAUGCAAUUUUUAUAGAAAAUACAUCCAUGAAAACCGUGCAGAUAAACCAAAGCAAGAAAACUAUCAGUUGGGUUUUCUUAAGGCGAGCUUCUAUUAACACGCCGCAUCUGUCGGCAUAUUAAACUAUAUGCUGCACAUCUUAUCUUCUGCCUCAACCCCUGUAAUUGAGAGGAAAUGACAUACAAUUACAUCAAGUUAGAACCGCACCGAACACUUUUGGGUGUUACUCCCAGCUUGUAAGAGCGGUUACAUCAGUGUAUCCAGUCAUCAGCACAUUAGUUUACUGAGGAUUUCGUGAUGGUUUUAAAUGAGGAUCAACCAAAAGAACAUGGGGAGACAAUGGCCAUUAGACAGGAUUCAGUAGUUGAGAGUAUUCAUUGGCACAAGACCCUUAGUUCGGUGACCUUGGGUAAAUCAUCCCUUUAUGUCCACUUCACUGUUGAUAAUGAGGACAUUAGAACAUAAACAGAAAUGCCCUGACUUUUCUGAUCUGUGGUGUGCAUGUAGGUAUGGUGUGUGUGUGUGUGUGUGUGUGUGUGUGUGUGUGUGUGUGUGUAUGAGAGAGAGAGAGAGAGAGAGAUCUGCAAUGUGUGUAUAGGGGUGUGUGUGUGUGUGUGUGUGUGUGUGUGAGAGAGAGAGAGAGAGAGAGAGAGAGAGAGAGAGAGAGAGAGAGAGAGAGAUCUGCAAUGUGUAUAUAGGUAUGGUGUGUGUGUAUGUGUGUGCGUGUGUGUAUUGUUUUCUGUAUAUGAAUGUUUGUGAGCACACGAUACUCAGGGCAUACAUGUGGAUUUGAGAGAAUAGCCUGAGGUCCUCACACUCUACUUUAUUGGAAGCAAGGUCUGUUCGUUGUGUCUUUACCUCAAACACGGAAUCCUCUGUCCCUGCCUCCCCUCCACAUAGGGAUGCUGGGACUGCAUAUGCUAUGGCACUCAGCCUGUCUGCAGAUCUGAACUCUGGCCUUCCCUCUGGCAUACCGAGCCAUCUUCCCAGCCAAAAGAUCUCGGAUUUUAUGUCAUUUUAAAAAAAAUCCAACUAAAAACCUUUAUUUCAAAGAGGAAAGAAAAAGAGAUCAUAAUAAAUGCUGGUGUUAAAAACAUGAGUAAAACAGUUAAACAUGUAAAUAAAAGAAGCAGUUUUGUGUCGAAUUCCCAAGCUUUUGAAGUCGGCAAGCUUGCCCCCCCCUCACAUCUCAGCUCUGUCAUCCAUUGCAAGCCAAACCCACAGGAUUUUGUCAUUAAAAAACUUCAAAGAAAGGUACACACUUUGUAAAGCGGCAGUGCAGAUUGAAGGCAGCGAUGGACCUGGAGCCCAGCACCGCGAGCAGAGAGGCACCGGCUGUCAGGGCCUGUCUACUCUGUGUCAGAUGUGGCUGGUACCUUUCUGCCUUCCCGUAGCUGGAUGGAUCUGCACUGUCCUUCUUGCUGUUUCUCAGUCACUCUGUGUUGUGUGGGAGUGAGAAGAGAAGGCAUCCUCCUCUUCUUAUUUAAAAGAAAAUCAUUAUAUUUAACACCGUUAUAUAUCGUUAGCUCUGGGGUUUUCUUUUUUUCUUCUUUUUUUAAAUUUUUCUUUCUUUUUUUAAAAAAUCAUUUAUUUGCAUUUCAAAUGAUGUCCCCAUUCUGGUCCUCUCUCCACAACCCCCUGCCCAUCCCCUUUGCCUCUGAGAGGGUGCUGCCCCACCAACCCAUCCACUCCAGCCUCACCCCUCUAGCAUCCCCUUCACUGGGGCAACAAGCCUCUAUAGGACUAAAUACCUCCCCGCCCACUGAUGCCAGAUAAGCCAGUCCUUAGCAGGAGCCAUGGACUGACUCAUGUAUGCUCUUUGGUUAGUGGUUUAGUCCCUGGGAGCUCUGAGGGGUCAGGUUAGUUGAUAUUGCUGUUCUUCCUAUGGGGUUGCAAACCCCUUCUGCUCCUUCAGUCCUUCCCCUGUCUCUUCAUUUGGGGUCCCCAGGCUCAGUCUGAUGGUUGGCUGUGAGUAUCUGCAUCUGUCUUUGUCGGGUGCUAUCAGAGCCUCUCAGAGGACAGCUAUAUCAGGCUCCUGUCUGCAAGCUCUUCUUGCCAUCAGCGUUAGUGUUGGGGUUUGGUGUCUGCAGAUGGGAUGGAUCCCAAGGUGGGGAAAUCUCUGGAUGGCCUUUCCUUCAGCUUCUGCUCCAUUUUUUCUCCCUGCACUUCCUUUAGACAAGAACAAUUCUGUAUUAAAGACUUUGAGAUGGGUGGAUGGCCCCAUCCCUCAACUGGGGGCCAUGUCUAUCUUCUGGAGAAGGUCUCAUCAGGUUCUAUCUCCCCGCUGUGGGAUAUUUCAGCUAAUGUCAUUCCCAUUGGGUCUUGGGAGCCUCCUGCAUCCCUGCCAUCUAGGACUUUCUCGUGGUUCCUUCCCCCUGCCCUGCCCCAUAUUUCUAUUCAUUUUCCUGGCCCUUUGUGCUUCUCUCCUGUUUCUUCCCAUACCUGAUCCUACUCCCCCUUUCACCCUUCCCUCUUCCACCCAAGUCCCUCCCUCCCUCUGUCUGCCAGGAUUAUUUUGUUCCCCCUUCUAAGUGGAUCGAAGCACCCACACUUUGGCCUUCCUUCUUGUUAAGCUUCAUAUGGUCUGUGAGUUGUACCAUGGGAGUUCUGAGCUUUUGGGAAAAUAUCCACUUCUCAGUGACUACAUACCAUAUAUGUCCUUUUGGAUCUGGGUUACCUCACUCGGAAUGAUACUCUCUAGCUUUACUCAUUUGCCUGCAAAAUUUGUGAAGUAGUCAUUUUUAAUAGCUGAGUAGUAUUCCAUUGUGUAGAUGUACCACAUUUUCUGUAUCCAUUCUUCUGUUGAGGGAUAUCUAGGUUGUUCCCAGCUUUUGGCUAUUAUAAAUAAGGCUGCUAUGAACAUAGUGGAGCAUGUGUCCUUGUUAUAUGUUGGGGGAUCUUUUGGGAAAAUGCUCAAUAGUGGUACAGCUGGGUCUUCAGAGAGAACUAUUUCCAAUUUUCUUAGGAAGCUCCAGAUUGAUUUCAAAAGUGGUUGUACCAGCUUGCAAUCCCACCAGCAAUGGAGGAGUGUUCCUCUUUCUCCACAUCCUCAUCAGUAUCUGUUGUCUUCUGAAUUUUUUUUAUCUUAGCCAUUCUGAUUGGUGUGAGGUGGAAUCUCAGGGUUGUUUUGAUUUGCAUUUCCCUGAUGACUAAGGAUAUUGAACAUUUCUUUAGGUGCUUCUCAGCCAUUCGGUAUUCCUCAGCUGAGAAUUCUUUGUUUAGCUCUGUACCCCAUUGUUCAAUUGGGUUAUUUGUCUCCCUGCAGUCUAACUUCUUGAGUUCUUUGUAUAUUUUGGAUAUUAGCCCUCUAUCAGAUGUAGGAUUGAUAAAGAUCUUUUCCCAAUCUGUUGGUUGCCAUUUUGUCCUAACAACAGUGUCCUUUGCCUUACAGAAGCUUUGCAGUUUCAUGAGAUCCCAUUUGUCGAUUCUUGAUCUUAGAGCAUAAGCCAUUGCUAUUCUGUUCAGGAAAUUUUCCCUUGUGCUAUGUGUUCAAGAUUUUCAUAUAAAGUGUGUAUAAUUUCAGAUAUAUCCCUUCCCCAACUAGCUUGUUAACUGUUUUGGUUUUUUUUUCUUUUUUAAAAUUGCAAAAGAGUGUUAAUUUUUUUAAAUUUCUGUGUGCAGGAUUAUGAUGUGUUCCCACCCCACACCCCACCCCCGUUUCUAUGUCAUGACAUAGUAGAUUCAUAUAUAUUGAACCAACAUUAUAAAAGAUAAAAGCCAUUUAGUUACAACAUACAGCACUUUUUAAAUGCCUGCUUUACUUUUAUUUAUGUGUGCGCGUAUACGUGUAUACAUCUGCGUGCACACGGGCGCCAUGGCGUGUAGAAGAAGGUGGUUGUGAACCACUUCACAUAGACGCUAGGACUGAACCCAGGUUCUCUGCAAAAGCAGCACAUACUCUUAGCUGGAGAGCUAAAUCCUCAGCACCAAGACCUGCCCUUUAAAUGAGCUGUGUGCACUGCAUUUCCUUCCCUAAGGAUUUUCUUUUUAAUUACAUCUUUGCUCAUCGAGGUCUGUUUCUGGUCGCUGUUGCACAUCAAGCACGAUGCCUUUCCAGUGAACAAAUCACAAAAGUCGUUUGUGAAAGAGGCGAGCCUGCCUUUUUCCCUGGCUUACAGCAAAUUUCUGCCCAGAUUACACAGUGGUCUGUAAUGCGAAUCAUUCAUCUGUCCGGCCAUUAUCAGCUCAUUCUAUUUAACCAGGAUGAAAGCAAACUUGGGAGUGUCUCCCUCAUUCAGUCACAGGCACCCCUAUCUAGCUUCCACCUUUGUCUCCCAAGAGGCCUCCUAGGAAAGAGGCAAAAAACUUUGCCCACCAUUCAGCUUGGCAGUACACUGGGUGUGGAAGGGAGAUUACAAGUUCAAGGCCUGGACUACAGAGUUGAAAGUUCAAAGUCACCAUAAGCCAACUUGGUGAGACCUGAUCUAAAAGUAAAGUGAAUGGGGCUAACAGAAUGGCCCACCUGCUUCUACAAAGUCAACCUUCAACAUCAGUGAGUUGCCCUGUAGGGAAUAGCAGAGUAUUAAUUGUUACAGUUCUGAGGCCAACCCGCUGAGGAUUUCCAAUACUGAGCAUUGGAACUUAGAAUUGGGUUUAUGGAUCACCAGAUUCAGAACCAAACCUGGAGCCCACAGGGGCGGAGAGAAUCAGGCAACCUCACAGGAACCUGAUCUUCGUUGCUUAUUCAGUCUAUGAAAUGCUGGCCAGUCAUGAUUCAAACAAUUCAAAAACUGACAACUAUCUUUAGUUAGUUUUACUCUAAAUAUAAAAUCUUGAUUCAAGCCAAAAGAUGUUGGUUAUAGCUCACAAAAUGAAAUAUUAUUUAAGGAGGACUUUUAAAAAAACAUUCAUUCAUUCAUUCAUGGAUCAUGUGGGCACACAGGAGCAAGUACAUAUAAUGUUAUAUGUGCUGUGUGUGUAUGGAGAUGCCAGGAUUAAUCGCGGGAGUCGGAUCACUUUCCACUGUUUGGGUACCAAGGAUCAAAUUCAGUUCAUCCGGUUAAGAGCCAGAUGCCUUUACCCAGUGAACCAAUUUUCCAGCCCGCAAUUCAAGGGGGACCUUUCAAGCCAUUACUGAGUGUGUCCGACUGUGGUGUCAUAACAUCCCUCCCCUCAUCACUGACCCUAGACACUCAGGGCCUUAGAGAGCUUCAGUAAGGGACACCUUCUUUCAAAUAUAUACAACUCCAAGGACUGUUUGAGGUCUCAGUGCUGCUAGUCUGGGACUUAGUGACGGGAAUGAUGGGCUAUACCGGGGGUGUCGUCUUAAGCAAUGCAGGAUGAAGUUGUUUGCCUGUUCUGUUAAAUUCCACUUACCUUCAGGAAAUAAAGUAAAUUAUCUCUAAGUAAAUGUCUCUAAGUAAAUGUCUCUAAGACCCAGACGCUCAGAGUCCAUGGCGGUAGCAAUGCCGAAACAUUACAUACACCCGUCAGCACUAUACUGAACUUCAUGGUUGGGUUUAGAACACAUUUGGGGCCAGGGUGAAAAUAAAUAUUUCUAUUUGUUUUGGAAAACAAUACACUCAGAAGCUUCAAUGAUUCUUAUAAAGCACCCACUAAUUAGAAACCAAGUGACUUGAAAUUAUCCUUCUAUGAUUUUCAGUGAAGUCCUCCAUCUGAAUCGAUUAGCAGGUGGGGAACAGCACAACUCUUCAGAAAGCACAGAAGGUUUGCUGUCAUCAAGUACCAUGCUUAGUCUAGGGGCACGGCAAGAAAACAGCCCUGCUUCCAAAAAGUGGCGUCAAAGUCAAAAUAUAGCAAGGCUUAAUCACCACGUUUUAUUUCCGUGCAUUUUAAAAAUGUCUAGUGGUGCUUUAACUUAUAACAUUGUGAACUAUUUAUUCUUUAUCUUCCUACCAAGAGACAGCAAUUAAACAAAUAGCAUGUUUUUGCUACCCAGCUUAAAGAUGUUUUAAUUUGAUGCAAAUGUCGCAAAAAAUGAGCUCAUUCUCUUAGACAAAAAUGUGUGUGCUCUAGAUAAAGAAAACUACUUCUAUAGAGUAGUCAUUUAUCAUAUACAUACAUAUAUAUGUGUGUGUAUGAUAAACUACAUACAUAAACACACAUACAUAAACACAUGCACAUACACACACAUACAUAAACACACAUAAACACAUGCACAUACACACACAUACACACACAUACACAUGUACACAGACACACAUACACAGACACACAUACACAGACACACAUACACACAUGCAUACACACAUGCACACACACACACUCAAAAUAUCCCCAUCUCCUCCUCCAUGGCUUGACCUAGAACACGCAGAUCUUCUAUCAGCCACAUUACAGAGAACCACUUUGGCCAAGGUCAUUACUCCUCCAAGUUUAAGGCCGUGGAAACUCAGCAGGAGACUUAUUUCAUCCAUCACUGGCACCUCCCAGGGAUGCUAUGGCAUGAGAAACACUCUUGGCAUCUGACACGAUUUCCCUAGGGUUUCAUUCAUUCUGUGCACUGGUCCCCCACCCCUAAUCUCCUCUCCAUGAGCACUUCCUCUCAUUUGGAUACUCAUCUUCCCUGCAGGCUAUUAUCUGAGGGUAUUGUAUUUCUGUUCUUACGUCCUAUUUAAUUUCUUCAUGCACCAUCUACCUGUAGCUGCCACCUGUACAAACUACAAGCAUAAAAUGAAUACACUCUUAUACACGACUGCCUUAGAACUUGCUCCCAAGAGCGGUACCCAGGUGAUUGACACUGCUCAUUCGUUUGGAGGGAGCACCUAUGGCAGGAGACAGCUGUUACUGUCCACUGAGCUGCUGUUCACCUCUACACAUGCAGAACUCUCACUGACUCCCCUUCCUCAUCUGUGAUACCUAACCAACCAUCAGUUCCUCCCCUCCAUGGUGUACGCUUCCGCUCCACUUCUCUAUAAAAGCAAUUCUGGUUCUCCCGUUGCUGCAUCCCAGAGCCCACACCCUGGUCCACAUUUCUUCCUUACCUCUCCCUCUCUUCUUCACUGGACUGAAAAUGACAGUGACCUGAUUUUCAUCUUUCAGAUGCAUAGUCUCAGGACACCCAGUGUCUGCUGCUAGAAACAACAGGCCUUAUAACAAAAGUAUAACACAGAAUAACCAGUGAGGCCAGAACUGAAAGCCAGGCUGGUGGCUUAAAAGGCCACGUUCCUCAUAAUUAUAUUACAUGGUGCUCAGUGUUUAGUCAGUAUUCAAAUAGGCACUAUUUAAGCGGGUUACUUAAAAUUUGGCUAUUUUUAAUUUAUCCAUAUUAAAUUUACACUGGCAUGAGACUAGGUUAAUACACAGGUAUAAAUGUAUUCCCAAGAAUUAAAUUACUCUGGCAUAAAUACAAGGUGAAUUUUCAAAGUAAAUGAGUUAUCAGCUACUUGGUGUGUGUGUGUGUGUGUGUGUGUGUGUUCAAAUGAGUGCAUGUCUACAUCUAUGUGCACACAUAUGCAUGCUAAUGUGUACAUGUAUAUAUGUGUAUGUGUGUAUAUGUGUUUUGUAUGUACAAGUGUGUGCAUGUGUGUUUAAAUAUGUC